UCUGCCUUGUCCAUAUGCAUCACAUUUUUUUAUAAACGAAAUCUUCUGAAACCUAGACAUGUUACACUAUUUGAUUGUCUCUUCAUUUGCUAAGAAAUCGUGACAAUCGGAUUUGAUUGUCUCUUCAUUUGAUAAACUUGGAAGGGGGACCAGCGCUGCCGCCAAUAAUCAUCUUCUGCGAACCUCUCUGGCUCUCUCUCUCUCUCUCUGUGAAUGCACCGAAAAUUGAAGAAGCACCAGUCAACUCUACACGACACAGGAAUCGGUGAAAAUCCCAAGAACAAUAAGCCCACGUCUCUCUUUUCGACACCUGUUCUUUCGUGCUAAUAUCAAAAAUAGGAGGUGGCUUCUUUAACAUCUCUUGAUUUAAAAGCACGUUGGGAUGAAAUGGUUGGCUCUCUCUGGAAAAAUCCACGAAAGGGUUCUUCCUCUUUCCUUCUGGUUUCACACACUUGGUGUUUGUUUAUAUAUCUAAAUGAAAUUUUGCCAAGACAGUAGGUCGGGUGAGAAUGUCUAGAGUCUUGAUUCGUUACUUGAACUUUUGGACUCGGUAUCUUCAAACUUAAGAAGAAUCUCUCAAAUUCUUUGAUAUCUAACCUUACCAAAUUUUACUGCGAUGUGCAGAGUUUAUUGAGUGUUAGAAAGUGAAGGGGGUGGUUGAAUCCAAUGGGGAUUUGUUUGAGUACUCAUAUCAAAGCU
rnacentral:lncRNA from 1 species